GUUCAAAGGAAAAGGCAGAUAGGCUGCUCUAGAAGUGGGUCUCUGAAAGCUGUCAGGGCCACGCUGAUCUCAGGUGGUUGCCUGCCUGGGCUGAUGAGCAUCGGGCUCCUGGGCUGGGACCCGAGCUGUUCCAGCAGAGGCCACCUGGCAAUUAGCGGGGAAGCAAGAUCUUUCCCUGGCUCCUAGCUGCACCUGUGGUUACUCUGCUGAGUGCCAUGACUGUAUUUAAAGCAGCCCCACAGAGAGGCCUAUUUUCAUUUGGUUUGUCUUAGCUUGGUUUGAGCAUCUCCCUGCUUGGUGUCCUGUGGUUUUAGCUGGUUUCUCCCUCCCUUUGUGUCACUGGUGCAAGGAGACUGAACUACUUGCAUGCCUACUCAGAAAGCGCAAAAUAGGAACAGAUGCUGCUUGUAUCAGAAAGCGACCUGGGAGGCCAGAGGUAUGUCAGACUUCUGAUGGAAUGACAGCCAAAGAGACCAGAAGAGCUUUGCCAGUGUUACUGAGCUGUGCAAACUCCUCACAGCAGGGACUGCUGUUUUGCAGGGACAACUUUGCAGAUGUGCAUUAUUACAUCAAACAUAAGAGGGAAUGUGGCCAUUACCCCAUGCUCUGGUUGCCUUUCCUGGAUGGUUUGGAGUUGAAGGGAAUGCAGGCUACUUGACUACUGAGACUGAGGGUGUCUCAUAGAAAUAUCUAAAAAUCCAAAUGGAAAAUGAAAACGUGCUGAAGCUGUGGAUCAGCAUGUGCAGAAGAGCAUGGAGCACCAUUCCCGAGAGUAGCCCUACAGGGUAGCCAGCAGUGAGAAAUGGGUCUCUUUCCUACUGUAAGCAGUGUCCUACUGCUUAGCUGAUGCUGUGGUUUUGGUGCUCAGAGGUAGCUCUGUAACAUCAGGGCCCUGUGGCACCAUGCUCGGGCUCAAGUGGCUCUUGUAGGAUUGAGAUCCCCUUGGUAUUUCUUCCCGAUGUGUUAGGAAGCUGGAUGGGUUUUCUGUAAGUAGCCAGGUGGUGCUUUCUUAUUCUAGCUGGGAUUGCUUAGCUGGCAUGCUUUGUUCUGAAAAGUGCAAAAAAUAAAUUGUAACACCUGAUGUACUCA
rnacentral:lncRNA from 1 species